GACGAACGCUGGCGGCGGGCGGAACAAAGGCAAGUCGAACGGAAAGGCCCUGCUUUUGUGGGGUGCUCGAGUGGCGAACGGGUGAGUAACACGUGAGUAACCUGCCCUUGACUUUGGGAUAACUUCAGGAAACUGGGGCUAAUACCGGAUAGGAGCUCCUGCUGCAUGGUGGGGGUUGGACCAUUUCGGCGGUUGGGGAUGUCCUCGCGGCUUAUCAGCUUGUUGGUGGGGUAGUGGCUUACCAAGGCUUUGACGGGUAGCCGGCCUGAGAGGGUGACCGGCCACAUUGGGACUGAGAUACGGCCCAGACUCCUACGGGAGGCAGCAGUGGGGAAUAUUGCACAAUGGGCGGAAGCCUGAUGCAGCAACGCCGCGUGCGGGAUGACGGCCUUCGGGUUGUAAACCGCUUUCGCCUGUGACGAAGCGUGAGUGACGGUAAUGGGUAAAGAAGCACCGGCUACCUACGUG
rnacentral:rRNA from 1 species